rnacentral:misc_RNA from 1 species
UGUGGGAGCGAGCUUGCUCGCGAUGGCGGCGUCACAUUCAGCACUUCUGUUGGCUGAUCCACCGUUAUCGCGAGCAAGCUCGCUCCCACA